UUUUCAGUUUCAAAAAUGUAAACAGACGCUUCCCCUUUCACCUUACCUUCUUCCUUUUCUCCUUCUCUCAGCCGUUUCUAGGUUUCAAGUCGUUUAAAACCUUCUCUCAAACACACUGCUUUUCCGUGUCUGCCUCUGAUUUCAGGACCUCCUCGACACCCUCCCUCGCCCUUCCACCGCCGUCUGGAAAACCUUCAUCAUGGGCUUCAUCUGCGACCGGGUGCCAGGGUUUUCAUACUCGAUUUGGGUUUUCCUGCAAUUUUUCAGAUUUGGUGCGCCUUUGCUGGGAUUAUGGGGUUCCAGUUUGUGCUUUGGUGUCGUUCUUCUAUGUUGUUCUUGAUUGUGGUAUUGAAUUUUCUUUCAUGAACCAAAAACACAAUUUUCCUUAAUUUUUUUCAUGGUUUUCUAGACUUUUUAGACAGUGAUUGGGUUUGGAUCUCUUGAUGACAUGAAAAGGCCUCAGCUACUGUUUUACCUUGGUAUUAUAUAUGUUCUCUUGGAGUAAAAAAUGCAGGAUGUUAUGGCUCAUUCUACAGAAGUAGAAUUUAUUGCAGCAACAGUUGUAAAUCAAUCCUUAUAGUGUUUUUACAGUUGAGUUUUUUAUUUGAGUUUUUAGUUUUUUUCUUUUUUUUUAUAAUUUUGGACAUGAGAAAGUAAGGGUCUGUGGCUAAGUUGUGUUACAUUGCAUCUUGAUGUUCAUUCGAGAGAACUGGUGAAGGGGCAGGGGCUUAGUGAGUGGGGGAAAAUUAUUCUCUUCUAUAAGGUAACCUCCCAAAAUCUGCAUUAUUGUGUGUCUUUUAAGAUUUUUAUUUCCAUCUUGGUUUAAUUGGUGUAGAAUUAUCCAAGUUCAUUCUCAUUAUAUGCUUCACUUUGAUGCUUAUUCAAGAAAAUUGUCUAUAUAAAAUGACAAUCACUGUAUAAUUAAGUAAUUGUUAUUUCAUGAAUUAUUACUCUACAGUUUCAUUUCUUCCAUAACGGCUGAUUUCAAUCUUGCCAAAUUACAAGUUAUUUUCAUUGAAUUGUUAUUAUGAUAGUUAAUAUAGCAAAGAAGCCUUUGAUAGCUUAGGCAGUUUCAAACGGCAUUACUUUUUAUAAUAAUUGCCAAUAAGUGGCAUUCCUUUUAAGUAUCUUACAUUAAUAGGCAUUUGCAUCAACAUUUUUAUUGCUAUUUUGGCAUUUUAUUUGUGUGACCUACACCAGUAUUUUGGCAUCUUAGUGUUUAUAAUCAUUCAAGUUAGCGAAACUAAUGCACGGCCUAAUACCUAUUUUCUAUGAACAGUUUAAUUACCUAUGUUAUUGGUUGUGUAGGCUGAACCUAAAACAGAUGAAGUAUAUGAUCAGACAACUUUGCUUCCUGAAGCAGAUGUGAGUGCGCUCUGACUUAGAAUUAGAAUAUUGUUUCUGCAACCACAACUUUUCUUUUUGCAGAUAUUCUGUCUGCAAUCGAUCUCAUCCCUUUGUUGCUUCAAUAUUCUAUAAAUGCUUCUCCUGGAUGUUCCCAGUUGCAUUGUUUUGGAUUCUCUUUGAUUCUACAUGCUUGGGUGAUCAAGUAGCCAAUUAAGGUUUUGGAUUCUCUGAUUCUGCAUGCUUGGUAGAAUGAGUUGGAAAUUAAGGUGGUGAAUCUUAUCUUGGAGCCUUAAAUUGAUAUCACAACCAGCUAUAUUUUUCAAGAGUGUGGUUCAAGUGUAUCAUCUUAUCCGAACUAAAGACAGAUGUUCUCAGGAACGAAAAAAGUAGGAGUAACGAAGAAGAUAAAUGAGAAUGGAUAUGAGAAUUCUUACUGAAUGUACAAGUUGCUGCAUUGUUGUCUCCCACCAAGGUAUGAAUCAUCCGUCUUUUUACUUUUUUCACCUUUGUUAUUUCUUUCCUCUUUCACUCCCAUUCCAUGUUAUGUUUUUUUUUUGUUGCCUUCUUUGAAGUUUUAUUUUUCAGCCUAUGCAUUCCCAAGACUAUUCACAAGUACAAUGCUUAUAAGGAUGUUGGUCUUUCUACUUACUGAUUAUAUGAUGAAUUAGAAUUAUGUGAGCAGAGAGAGAAGGCUGGGACAGAAAAAUGCUAAAAUGAGUUAUUUUAGAUUGCAAGAACGUCAAUCUUUCCAGAACAAGAAAGUAAAGUUCUCAGCCAGCAGAGGCAGCAUCAAAGUGAAGGACAAGAAA